GACAGAGGCCUCAAGCGUUAGGCGGAAUCACUGGGCUUAAAGCGUGUGUAGGCGGAUCGUUAAGUGUCUUGUGAAAUCCCACGGCUCACCCGUGGAACUGCUGGGCAUACUGGCGAUCUUGGGCCAACUAGGGGCAACUGGAACAAGCGGUGGAGCGGUGAAAUGCGUAGAUAUCAGGAGGAACACCGAUGGCGAAGGCAGGUCUCUGAGCCACUACUGACGCUGAGAAGCGAAAGCAUGGGGAGCGAACAGG
rnacentral:rRNA from 1 species